rnacentral:rRNA from 1 species
CAGUCGCCACGGUAAUACGUAGGGCGCAAGCGUUGUCCGGAAUUAUUGGGCGUAAAGAGCUCGUAGGCGGUCUGUCGCGUCUGGUGUGAAAUCCCGAGGCUCAACCUCGGGCUUGCAUCGGGUACGGGCAGACUAGAGUGCGGUAGGGGAGACUGGAAUUCCUGGUGUAGCGGUGGAAUGCGCAGAUAUCAGGAGGAACACCGAUGGCGAAGGCAGGUCUCUGGGCCGCAACUGACGCUGAGGAGCGAAAGCAUGGGGAGCGAACAGGAUUAGAGACCCCCGUAGUCCCUGUCUCUUAUAC